ACGAUGGAGAUACAGACCCUACACUGUAACCUGACGUGCACCUCUCAAAAAAUAUAACUACACGUCGUGGCAACGCACGUCGCUCGGCUGUGGCUUGGUAGCUUUUCAUUCCCCCCCCCCGAGUCAUUUCCUGGUUCUCUUUCUCCUUAAACAUGAAAUCAUGGAGAGGGUUAACUAGUCCUGCUGUAGAUGUCUCACCUUGGUCAGCACAGGGAAGACUCUUUGUUUCUCUCACUAUGAUCUAGAGUCACUACUCUGAAGAUAAUCGUCGUCACUCUCACUUCUCCCUCGCUUUAUCACCUAGACCCCCCCCCCCCACACACACACACACACGGCAGCGUAACGCAUACACCAGCGCACAAGCGUGUAACCAUCAGACCACCUACGUAGGCUACGGAGAAAGCGCUGCGUGGCACCUCCGCACAGCCA